rnacentral:rRNA from 1 species
CUUACACAUGCAGUCGAGGGGUAUAGUUCUUCGGAAUUAGAGACCGGCGCACGGGUGCGUAACGCGUACGCAAUCUACCUUUUACAGAGGGAUAGCCCAGAGAAAUUCGGAUUAAUACCUCAUAGUAUUAUAGUACGGCAUCAUAUUAUAAUUAAAGUCACAACGGUAAGAGAUGAGCAUGCGUCCCAUUAGCUUGUUGGUAAGGUAACGGCUUACCAAGGCUACGAUGGGUAGGGGUCCUGAGAGGGAGAUCCCCCACACUGGUACUGAGACACGGACCAGACUCCUACGGGAGGCAGCAGUGAGGAAUAUUGGUCAAUGGACGCAAGUCUGAACCAGCCAUGCCGCGUGCAGGAUGACGGUCCUAUGGAUUGUAAACUGCUUUUGCACAGGAAGAAACAACUCUACGUGUAGAGUCUUGACGGUACUGUGAGAAUAAGGAUCGGCUAACUCCGUGCCAGCAGCCGCGGUAAUACGGAGGAUCCAAGCGUUAUCCGGAAUCAUUGGGUUUAAAGGGUCCGUAGGCGGUUUAGUAAGUCAGUGGUGAAAGCCCAUCGCUCAACGGUGGAACGGCCAUUGAUACUGCUAGACUUGAAUUAUUGGGAAGUAACUAGAAUAUGUAGUGUAGCGGUGAAAUGCUUAGAGAUUACAUGGAAUACCAAUUGC